CAGCCGCCGCGGGAAUACGAAGGGGGCUAGCGUUGCUCGGAAUCACUGGGCGUAAAGGGUGCGUAGGCGGGUCUUUAAGUCAGGGGUGAAAUCCUGGAGCUCAACUCCAGAACUGCCUUUGAUACUGAAGAUCUUGAGUUCGGGAGAGGUGAAUGGAACUGCGAGUGUAGAGGUGAAAUUCGUAGAUAUUAGGAAGAACACCAGUGGCGAAGGCGGCUUUCUGGAUGAAAACUGACACUGAGGCGCGAAAGCCAGGGGAGCGAACGGGAUAGAUACCCGAGUAGUCCCUGUCUCUUAUACA
rnacentral:rRNA from 1 species